GCCAGGCUUUGUCUUGACUGAACAAGAGAACCACAGCAAUGCCCUAACUACUUUCUUGCCCUCUGACCCCCUUGACCCCUGACCCUCCUUGACCUCUGACCCCCCUUGACCUCUGACCCACCCUUGACCUCUGACCCCCUUGACCUCUGACCCUUGGGGUAUCUGUAUUCUUACUGCCUAUAGCCAGAAAAAAGGUCAAGUUAUGAUGGAUGGGGAAUUUGAUGAUUAUGAGUGUACGCUUCAGCUGUAAGUCAUCAGCAGGGUUUGUUCUGUUCAAAAGGGGGUUGUUCCUGUCAGGUGAGCCAGGACGGAGGCCUGAGAAGUGAGCAUCUGAGACAAAGAGAUGAACCAGGAGAGAACUCUAGCUGUCCUCACAAGACAGAAUGUGGUAGAAGAAAGUAUCAGAGGUGUCUAGGCUCCUGCCAUGGGAGCUGCUCCACAUGCUUCAAAGACUGUCUCUUUGACAAGGCAACUCAAAGCCAGCUUCAUCAUCAAAGGUCCUGCCAGCAGAGCAAGGAUUUAGGAAACCUGCGUUCCUGGAGCUCCCUGUCAAAUGUGUAGGCAGUUCCACUGAAGAGUCCUUUACCCAGCGACUGUUAACCCUAAAGAACAUUGGAGAUGAAGCUUGCAGAUCUUGUAACUUUCUGAGCUUCCUGAGCCCUGUAAAUUUUUGAAAUGUCCUGUGUCUUAUGAGAGCUCUUUAUUUCUUCCUCUCUCUAGGAGGGUGUGUGUGUGUGUGUGUGUGUGUGUGUGUGUGUGUGUGCAUGCAUUUAGAAAUUUGGAGGGAGUAGCCUCACAACAAUAUAGACUAGACUAUUUUUAAAAUAAAAUGAGC
rnacentral:lncRNA from 1 species